rnacentral:rRNA from 1 species
UACGAAGGGGGCUAGCGUUGUUCGGAAUUACUGGGCGUAAAGGGCGCGUAGGCUGUGCUGUAAGUCAGGCGUGAAAGCCCCGGGCUCAACCUGGGAAUUGCGCUUGAUACUGCGGCGCUGGAAGGUGGGAGAGGAUGGCGGAAUUCCCAGUGUAGAGGUGAAAUUCGUAGAUAUUGGGAAGAACACCGGUGGCGAAGGCGGCAUCCUGGACCAACACUGACGCUGAGUGAGCGAAAGCCAGGGGAGCAAACGGG